rnacentral:rRNA from 1 species
CUCGUAGGUGGCCAACUCAGUCAGACGUGAAAUCCCUCGGCUUAACCGGGGAACUGCGUCUGAUACUGGAUGGCUUGAGGUUGGGAGAGGGAUGCGGAAUUCCAGGUGUAGCGGUGAGAUGCGUAGAUAUCUGGAGGAACACCGGUGGCGAAGGCGGCAUCCUGGACCAAUUCUGACACUGAGGAGCGAAAGCCAGGGGAGCAAACG